GACGAACGCUGGCGGCGUGCUUAACACAUGCAAGUCGAGCGGAAAGGCCUUUCGGGGUACUCUUCCGCGGCGAACGGGUGAGUAACACGUGAGUAAUCUGCCCUGCACUCUGGGAUAGCCAUCGGAAACGGUGAUUAAUACUGGAUAUGAGCAAUCCACGCAUGUGGGUUGUUGGAAAGUUUUUCGGUGCAGGAUGUGCUCGCGGCCUAUCNNCUUGUUGGUGGGGUAAUGGCCUACCAAGGCUUCGACGGGUAGCCGGCCUGAGAGGGUGACCGGCCACACUGGGACUGAGACACGGCCCAGACUCCUACGGGAGGCAGCAGUGGGGAAUAUUGGACAAUGGGCGGAAGCCUGAUCCAGCAACGCCGCGUGAGGGAUGACGGCCUUCGGGUUGUAAACCUCUUUCAGUACAGACGAAGCGCAAGUGACGGUAUGUACAGAAGAAGGACCGGCCAACUACGUGCCAGCAGCCGCGGUAAUACGUAGGGUCCGAGCGUUGUCCGGAAUUAUUCCCCGUAAAGGGCUCGUAGGCGGUUUGUCGCGUCGGGAGUGAAAACUUCGGGCUUAACUCGGAGCUUGCUUUCGAUACGGGCAGACUUGAGGCAUUCAGGGGAGAACGGAAUUCCUGGUGUAGCGGUGAAAUGCGCAGAUAUCAGGAGGAACACCGGUGGCGAAGGCGGUUC
rnacentral:rRNA from 1 species